rnacentral:rRNA from 1 species
GUACACUCCUGCGGGAGGCAGCAGUGGGGAAUAUUGGACAAUGGGCGCAAGCCUGAUCCAGCCAUGCCGCGUGAGUGAUGAAGGCCCUAGGGUUGUAAAGCUCUUUCACCGGUGAAGAUAAUGACGGUAACCGGAGAAGAAGCCCCGGCUAACUUCGUGCCAGCAGCCGCGGUAAUACGAAGGGGGCUAGCGUUGUUCGGAUUUACUGGGCGUAAAGCGCACGUAGGCGGACUAUUAAGUCAGGGGUGAAAUCCCGGGGCUCAACCCCGGAACUGCCUUUGAUUCUGGUAGUCUUGAGUUCGAGAGAGGUGAGUGGAAUUCCGAGUGUAGAGGUGAAAUUCGUAGAUAUUCGGAGGAACACCAGUGGCGAAGGCGGCUCACUGGCUCGAUACUGACGCUGAGGUGCGAAAGCGUGGGGAGCAAACGGGAUUAGAAACCCGAGUAGUCCCAUG